UACGAAGGGGGCUAGCGUUGUUCGGAAUCACUGGGCGUAAAGGGCGCGUAGGCGGCUUUAUAAGUCGGGGGUGAAAGCCUGUGGCUCAACCACAGAAUUGCCUUCGAUACUGUAGAGCUUGAGACCGGAAGAGGUAAGUGGAACUGCGAGUGUAGAGGUGAAAUUCGUAGAUAUUCGCAAGAACACCAGUGGCGAAGGCGGCUUACCUGGU
rnacentral:rRNA from 1 species